GAUGAACGCUGGCGGCGUGCCUAAUACAUGCCAGUCGAGCGAACGGACGAGUAGCUUGUUUCUCUGAAGUUAGCGGCUGAAGGGUGAGUAACAUGUGGACAACCUACCUAUAAGACUGGGAUAACUUCGGGAAACCGGAGCUACUACCGGAUAAUAUUUUGCACCGCAUGGCUACUAAGUGAAAGCCGGUUUUGCUGUCACUUAUAGAUUGAUCCGCGCUGCAUUAGCUAGUUGGUAAGGUAACGGCUUACCAAGGCAACGAUGUGUAGCUGACCUGAGAGGGUGAUCGGCCACACUAGAACUGAGACACGGUCCAGACUCCUACGGGAGGCAGCAGUAGGGAAUCUUCCGCAAUGGGCGAAAGCCUGACGGAGCAACGCCGCGUGAGUGAUGAAGGUCUUCGAUUUUUAAUACUCUGUUAUUAGUUAAGAACGGAUGUGUAAGUAACUGUGCAGGUCUUGACGGUAUCUUAGCAGAAAGCCACGGCUAACUACGGG
rnacentral:rRNA from 1 species